rnacentral:rRNA from 1 species
AGUGAACGCUGGCGGCAGGCCUAACACAUGCAAGUCGAACGGCAGCACAGGAGAGCUCGCUCUCUGGGUGGCGGGUGGCGGACGGGUGAGGAAUAUAUCGGAAUCUACCCUUUCGUGGGGGAUAACGUAGGGAAACUUACGCUAAUACCGCAUACGAACUGAGGUUGAAAGCGGCGGACCGCAAGGCGUCGCGCGGAUGGAUGAGCCGAUAUCCGAUUAGCUAGUUGGCGGGGUAAAGGCCCACCAAGGCGACGAUCGGUAGCUGGUCUGAGAGGAUGAUCAGCGACAGUGGAACUGAGACACGGUCCAGACGCCUACGGGAGGCAGCAGUGGGGAAUGUUGGACAAUGGGCGCAAGCCUGAUCCAGCCAUGCCGCGUGUGUGAAGAAGGCCUUCGGGUUGUAAAGCACUUUUGUUGGGAAAGAAAAGCGGUCGGUUAAUACCCGGUCGUUCUGACGGUACCCAAAGAAUAAGCACCGGCUAACUUCGUGCCAGCCGCCGCAGUAACAC